GAAAUGCGAUAAUUAAUGUGAAUUGCAGAAUUCAGUGAAUCAUCGAGUCUUUGAGCGCACAUUGCGCCCCCUGGUAUUCCGGGGGGCAUGCCUGUCCGAGCGUCAUUGCUGCCCUCAAGCACGGCUUGUGUGUUGGGCUUCCGUCCCUGGCAACGGGGACGGGCCCAAAAGGCAGUGGCGGCACCAUGUCUGGUCCUCGAGCGUAUGGGGCUUUGUCACCCGCUCCCGUAGGUCCAGCUGGCAGCUAGCCUCGCAACCAAUCUUUUUAACCAGGUUGACCUCGGAUCAGGUAGGGAUACCCGCUGAACUUAAGC
rnacentral:misc_RNA from 1 species